UGAAGAUAGGGUGGGGGAGCGGCGAACGGGUGAGUAACGCGUUGGAAGCUACCCUCUACUCAGGGAUAACCUAGAGAAAUUUGGGCUAAUACCGGAUGGUCCCCCGCUUGCGGGGGUAAAGAUUUAUCGGUAGAGGAGGCGCCUGCGUAGUAUCAGCUUGUUGGUGAGGUAAAAGCUCACCAAGGCUAUGACGCUUAGCUGGAUUGAGAGAUUGACCAGCCACACUGGGACUGAGACACGGCCCAGACUCC
rnacentral:rRNA from 1 species